ACGCUGGCGGCACGCCUAACACAUGCAAGUCGAACGAAGUAGCAAUACUUAGUGGCAGACGGGUGAGUAACAUGUAGGUAUCUGCCCUUUGGCCUGGAAUAACACGAGGAAACUUGUGCUAAUACCGGAUAAGUCUUUACAGAGAAAGCUUUAUGCACCAUUGGAUGAGCCUGCACUUGAUUAGUUUGUUGGUGGGGUAAUGGCCUACCAAGACUGUGAUCAAUAGCUGAUUUGAGAGGAUGAUCAGCCACAUUGGGACUGAGACACGGCCCAAACUCCUACGGGAGGCAGCAGUGGGGAAUCUUGCACAAUGGAGGAAACUCUGAUGCAGCGAUGCCGCGUGAGUGAAGAAGGCCUUUGGGUUGUAAAGCUCUUUCGUCGGGGAAGAAAAUGACUGUACCCGAAUAAGAAGGUCCGGCUAACUUCGUGCCAGCAGCCGCGGUAAUACGAAGGGACCUAGCGUAGUUCGGAAUUACUGGGCUUAAAGAGUUCGUAGGUGGUUGAAAAAGUUAGUGGUGAAAUCCCAGAGCUUAACUCUGGAACUGCCAUUAAAACUUUUUAGCUAGAGUAUGAUAGAGGAAAGCAGAAUUUCUAGUGUAGAGGUGAAAUUCGUAGAUAUUAGAAAGAAUACCAAUUGCGAAGGCAGCUUUCUGGAUCAUUACUGACACUGAGGAACGAAAGCAUGGGUAGCGAAGAGGAUUAGAUACCCUCGUAGUCCAUGCCGUAAACGAUGUGUGUUAGACGUUGGAAAUUUAUUUUCAGUGUCGCAGCGAAAGCGAUAAACACACCGCCUGGGGAGUACGACCGCAAGGUUAAAACUCAAAUGAAUUGACGGGGACCCGCACAAGUAGUGGAGCAUGUGGUUUAAUUCGAAGAUACGCGCAGAACCUUACCAACACUUGACAUGUUCGUCGCGACUCUAAGAGAUUAGAGUUUUCGGUUCGGCCGGACGAAACACAGGUGCUGCAUGGCUGUCGUCAGCUCGUGUCGUGAGAUGUUGGGUUAAGUCCCGCAACGAGCGCAACCCUCACUUUUAGUUGCCAUCAUUAAGUUGGGCACUCUGAAAGAACUGCCAGUGAUAAGCUGGAGGAAGGUGGGGAUGACGUCAAGUCCUCAUGGCCCUUACGUGUUGGGCUACACACGUGCUACAAUGGUAUCUACAACAGGAAGCAAGACUGCGAAGUUAAGCAAAUCCCUAAAAGAUACCUCAGUUCGGAUUGCACUCUGCAACUCGAGUGCAUGAAGCUGGAAUUACUAGUAAUCGUGGAUCAGCGUGCCACGGUGAAUGCGUUCCCGGGUCUUGUACACACCGCCC
rnacentral:rRNA from 1 species